AGAGUUUGAUCAUGGCUCAGGAUGAACGCUGGCGGCGUGCCUAAUACAUGCAAGUCGAGCGGUAAGGCCCCUUCGGGGGUACACGAGCGGCGGACGGCUGAGUAACACGUAGGAACGUACCCCAAACUGAGGGAUAAGCACCAGAAAUGGUGUCUAAUACCGCAUGUGAUCUUCGGAUUAAAGCUUCGGCGGUUUGGGAACGGCCUGCGUCUGAUUAGUUUGUUGGUGAGGUAAUGGCUCACCAAGACUACGAUCAGUAGCUGGUCUGAGAGGAUGACCAGCCAGACUGGGACUGAGAACGGCCCAGACUCCUACGGGAGGCAGCAGUAGGGAAUUUUCCACAAUGGACGAAAGUCUGAUGGAGCAACGCCGCGUGCAGGAUGAAUGCCUUCGGGUUGUAAACUGCUUUUAUCUGUGACGAUUGUGACGGUAGCAGAUGAAUAAGGAUCGGCUAACUCCGUGCCAGCAGCCGCGGUCAUACGGAGGAUCCAAGCGUUAUCCGGAAUUACUGGGCGUAAAGAGUUGCGUAGGUGGCAUCGUAAGUUGGUAGUGAAAGCGUGGGGCUCAACCCCAUAUCCAUUACCGAAACUGCGGAGCUAGAGAAUGAGAGAGGUCGCUGGAAUUCCCUGUGUAGGAGUGAAAUCCGUAGAUAUAGGGAGGAACACCGAUGGCGUAGGCAGGCGACUGGCUCAUUUCUGACACUAAGGCACGAAAGCGUGGGGAGCAAACGGGAUUAGAUACCCUAGUAGUCC
rnacentral:rRNA from 1 species